AAUGGGCGGAAGCCUGACCCAGCCAUGCCGCGUGCAGGAUGAAACGGUAUGGGUUGUAAACUGCUUUUAUGUGGGAAUAACCCCUUUACGUGUAGAGGGCUGAAUGUACUAAACGAAUAAGCACCGGCUAACUCCGUGCCAGCAGCGCGGUAAUACGGAGGGUGCAAGCGUUAUCCGAAUCAUUGGGUUAAAGGGUCGCAGGCGGAUGUAUAAGUC
rnacentral:rRNA from 1 species